rnacentral:rRNA from 1 species
GGAGGAAGCCACGGCUAACUACGUGCCAGCAGCCGCGGUAAUACGUAGGUGGCAAGCGUUGUCCGGAAUUACUGGGUGUAAAGGGAGCGCAGGCGGGAAGACAAGUUGGAAGUGAAAUCCAUGGGCUCAACCCAUGAACUGCUUUCAAAACUGUUUUUCUUGAGUAGUGCAGAGGUAGGCGGAAUUCCCGGUGUAGCGGUGGAAUGCGUAGAUAUCGGGAGGAACACCAGUGGCGAAGGCGGCCUACUGGGCACCAACUGACGCUGAGGCUCGAAAGUGUGGGUAGCAAACAGGAUUAGAUACCCUGGUAGUCCACACCGUAAACGAUGAUUACUAGGUGUUGGAGGAUUGACCCCUUCAGUGCCGCAGUUAACACAAUAAGUAAUCCACCUGGGGAGUACGACCGCAAGGUUGAAACUCAAAGGAAUUGACGGGGGCCCGCACAAGCGGUGGAGUAUGUGGUUUAAUUCGACGCAACGCGAAGAACCUUACCAGGUCUUGACAUUGAUCGCGAUCUGCAGAAAUGCGGAGUUCUUCUUCGGAAGACGAGAAAACAGGUGGUGCACGGCUGUCGUCAGCUCGUGUCGUGAGAUGUUGGGUUAAGUCCCGCAACGAGCGCAACCCUUGAUCUUAGUUGCCAGCAUUCAGUUGGGCACUCUAAGGUGACUGCCGGUGACAAACCGGAGGAAGGUGGGGAUGACGUCAAAUCAUCAUGCCCCUUAUGACCUGGGCUACACACGUGCUACAAUGGACAGAACAAAGGGCAGCGAAACCGCGAGGUUAAGCCAAUCCCACAAAUCUGUUCUCAGUUCGGAUCGCAGUCUGCAACUCGACUGCGUGAAGCUGGAAUCGCUAGUAAUCGCGGAUCAGCAUGCCGCGGUGAAUACGUUCCCGGGCCUUGUACACACCGCCCGUCACACCAUGGGAGUGGG